AGUGAACGCUGGCGGUAGGCCUAACACAUGCAAGUCGAACGGCAGCACAGUAAGAGCUUGCUCUUACGGGUGGCGAGUGGCGGACGGGUGAGGAAUACAUCGGAAUCUACUUUUUCGUGGGGGAUAACGUAGGGAAACUUACGCUAAUACCGCAUACGACCUACGGGUGAAAGCAGGGGAUCUUCGGACCUUGCGCGAUUGAAUGAGCCGAUGUCGGAUUAGCUAGUUGGCGGGGUAAAGGCCCACCAAGGCGACGAUCCGUAGCUGGUCUGAGAGGAUGAUCAGCCACACUGGAACUGAGGCACGGUCCAGACUCCUACGGGAGGCAGCAGUGGGGAAUAUUGGACAAUGGGCGCAAGCCUGAUCCAGCCAUACCGCGUGGGUGAAGAAGGCCUUCGGGUUGUAAAGCCCUUUUGUUGGGAAAGAAAAGCAGCAGGUUAAUACCCCGCUGUUCUGACGGUACCCAAAGAAUAGGCACCGGCUAACUUCG
rnacentral:rRNA from 1 species